UCCGUAGGUGAACCUGCGGAAGGAUCAUUAUUGAAUAAACUUGGUUGGGUUGUGCUGGCUUUUUGGAGCAUGUGCACGCCUAGCGCCAUUUUUACCACCUGUGCACCUUUUGUAGAUUUGAAACAACUCUCGAGGAAACUCGGUUUGAGGAAUGCUGUGUGCAAACAUGGCUUUCCUUGUGUUUCAAGUCUAUGUUUUUAUUAUACCCCAUAAGAAUGUAAUAGAAUGUUAUUAAUGGGCUUUAUGCCUUUAAAUUAAUACAACUUUCAACAACGGAUCUCUUGGCUCUCGCAUCGAUGAAGAACGCAGCGAAAUGCGAUAAGUAAUGUGAAUUGCAGAAUUCAGUGAAUCAUCGAAUCUUUGAACGCACCUUGCGCUCCUUGGUAUUCCGAGGAGCAUGCCUGUUUGAGUGUCAUUAAAUUCUCAACCCUUCCAGCUUUUGCAAGUUGGAUUGGCUUGGAUGUGGAGGUUAUUGCGGGCUUCUCCAGAAGUCAGCUCCUCUUAAAUGCAUUAGCGGAACCUUUGUGGACCAGCUUUUGGUGUGAUAAUUAUCUACGCCAUGGUUGUGAAGCAGCUUUAACAUGGGGUUCAGCUUCUAACAGUCCAUUGACUUGGACAAAUUUAUGACAUUUUUGACCUCAAAUCAGGUAGGACUACCCGCUGAACUUAAGCAUAUCAAUAAGCGGAGGAAAAGAAACUAGCAAGGAUUCCCCUAGUAACUGCGAGGAAAGGGGGGAAAA
rnacentral:rRNA from 1 species